rnacentral:rRNA from 1 species
UACGUAGGUGGCGAGCGUUGUCCGGAAUUACUGGGCGUAAAGGGAGCGUAGGCGGUUUUUUAAGUCGGAUGUGAAAUCCCUCGGCUCAACUGAGGAAGUGCAUCCGAAACUGGCAAGCUUGAGUACGAAAGAGGGUCGCGGAAUUCCCGGUGUAGAGGUGAAAUUCGUAGAUAUCGGGAGGAACACCGGUGGCGAAGGCGGCGACCUGGGUCGAUACUGACGCUGAGGUGCGAAAGCGUGGGGAGCAAACAGG